rnacentral:rRNA from 1 species
UUACAGAAUGAAAAGUGCUUAACUGCAUUUUUUCUUACACAUGUGUUUUUCUUUUUUUGAAAACUUUGCUUUGGUAGGCCUUCUAUAUGGGGCCUGCCAGAGAUUAAACUCAACCAAAUUUUAUUUAAUGUCAACCGAUUAUUUAAUAGUCAAAACUUUCAACAACGGAUCUCUUGGUUCUCGCAUCGAUGAAGAACGCAGCGAAAUGCGAUAAGUAAUAUGAAUUGCAGAUAUUCGUGAAUCAUCGAAUCUUUGAACGCACAUUGCGCCCUUUGGUAUUCCAAAGGGCAUGCCUGUUUGAGCGUCAUUUCUCCCUCAAACCCUCGGGUUUGGUGUUGAGCGAUACGCUGGGUUUGCUUGAAAGAAAGGCGGAGUAUAAACUAAUGGAUAGGUUUUUUCCACUCAUUGGUACAAACUCCAAAACUUCUUCCAAAUUCGACCUCAAAUCAGGUAGGACUACCCGCUGA